rnacentral:rRNA from 1 species
GAUGAACGCUGGCGGCGUGCUUAACACAUGCAAGUCGAGCGAGUGAGUUCUUCGGAACGAUCUAGCGGCGGACGGGUGAGUAACACGUGGGCAACCUGCCUCAUCGAGGGGAAUAGCCUCCCGAAAGGGAGAUUAAUACCGCAUAAAAUUAUCGAGUUUCAUCACAUGAUAAUCAAAGGAGUAAUCCGCUAUGAGGUGGGCCCGCGGCGCAUUAGCUAGUUGGUGAGUUAACGGCUCACCAAGGCGACGAUGCGUAGCCGACCUGAGAGGGUGAGCGGCCACAUUGGGACUGAGACGCGGACCAGACUCCUACGGGAGGCAGCAGUGGGGAAUAUUGCACAAUGGGGGAAACCCUGAUGCAGCAACGCCGCGUGAGUGAUGAAGGUCUUCGGAUUGUAAAGCUCUGUCUUUGGGGACGAUAAUGACGGUACCCAAGGAGGAAGCCACGGCUAACUACGUGGCAGCAGCCGCGGUAA